GACGAACGCUGGCGGCGUGCUUAACACAUGCAAGUCGAACGGAAAGGCCCAGCUUGCUGGGUACUCGAGUGGCGAACGGGUGAGUAACACGUGGGUUAUCUGCCCUCAACUUUGGGAUAAGCCUGGGAAACUGGGUCUAAUACCGGAUAUGAUCAACUGUCGCAUGGUGGUUGGUGGAAAGCUUUUGCGGUUGAGGAUGGGCCCGCGGCCUAUCAGCUUGUUGGUGGGGUAAUGGCCUACCAAGGCGACGACGGGUAGCCGACCUGAGAGGGUGAUCGGCCACACUGGGACUGAGACACGGCCCAGACUCCUACGGGAGGCAGCAGUGGGGAAUAUUGCACAAUGGGCGCAAGCCUGAUGCAGCGACGCCGCGUGAGGGAUGACGGCCUUCGGGUUGUAAACCUCUUUCACCAGGGACGAAGCGUGAGUAACGGUACCUGGAGAAGAAGCACCGGCCAACUACGUG
rnacentral:rRNA from 1 species